rnacentral:rRNA from 1 species
AGAGUUUGAUCCUGGCUCAGAACGAACGCUGGCGGCAGGCCUAACACAUGCAAGUCGAGCGAGAUCUUCGGAUCUAGCGGCGGACGGGUGAGUAACGCGUGGGAACAUACCCUUUGGUACGGAAUAGCCUCGGGAAACUGGGAGUAAUACCGUAUGUGCCCUUCGGGGGAAAGAUUUAUCGCCAAAGGAUUGGCCCGCGUUGGAUUAGGUAGUUGGUGGGGUAAUGGCCUACCAAGCCGACGAUCCAUAGCUGGUUUGAGAGGAUGAUCAGCCACACUGGGACUGAGACACGGCCCAGACUCCUACGGGAGGCAGCAGUGGGGAAUCUUAGACAAUGGGCGCAAGCCUGAUCUAGCCAUGCCGCGUGAUUGAUGAAGGCCUUAGGGUUGUAAAGAUCUUUCAGCUGGGAAGAUAAUGACGGUACCAGCAGAAGAAGCCCCGGCUAACUCCGUG